AGUUCUCGUUGAUGAUCGGUGCUUGCACUGAGAUUCAACAUCCAAUGAGUGGCGGACGGGUGAGUAACACGUGGGUAACCUGCCCCUUAGUGGGGGAUAACAUUUGGAAACAGAUGCUAAUACCGCAUAGAUCCAAGAACCGCAUGGUUCUUGGCUGAAAGAUGGCGUAAGCUAUCGCUUUUGGAUGGACCCGCGGCGUAUUAGCUAGUUGGUGAGGUAAUGGCUCACCAAGGCGAUGAUACGUAGCCGAACUGAGAGGUUGAUCGGCCACAUUGGGACUGAGACACGGCCCAAACUCCUACGGGAGGCAGCAGUAGGGAAUCUUCCACAAUGGACGCAAGUCUGAUGGAGCAACGCCGCGUGAGUGAAGAAGGCUUUCGGGUCGUAAAACUCUGUUGUUGGAGAAGAAUGGUCGGCAGAGUAACUGUUGUCGGCGUGACGGUAUCCAACCAGAAAGCCACGGCUAACUACGUGCCAGCAGCCGCGGUAAUACGUAGGUGGCAAGCGUUAUCCGGAUUUAUUGGGCGUAAAGCGAGCGCAGGCGGUUUUUUAAGUCUGAUGUGAAAGCCCUCGGCUUAACCGAGGAAGCGCAUCGGAAACUGGGAAACUUGAGUGCAGAAGAGGACAGUGGAACUCCAUGUGUAGCGGUGAAAUGCGUAGAUAUAUGGAAGAACACCAGUGGCGAAGGCGGCUGUCUGGUCUGUAACUGACGCUGAGGCUCGAAAGCAUGGGUAGCGAACAGGAUUAGAUACCCUGGUAGUCCAUGCCGUAAACGAUGAAUGCUAGGUGUUGGAGGGUUUCCGCC
rnacentral:rRNA from 1 species